GAUUGAACGCUGGCGGAAUGCUUUACACAUGCAAGUCGAGCGGCAGCGCGGGGGCAACCCUGGCGGCGAGCGGCGAACGGGUGAGUAAGUACAUCGGAACGUGUCCGUUAAGUCGGGGGAUAGCUCGGCGAAAGCCGGAUUAAUACCGCAUAAGCUCUGAGGAGGAAAGCGGGGCUCCGUAAGGACCUCGCGCUGUUGGAGCGGCCGAUGUCGGAUUAGCUAGUUGGUGGGUAAAGGCCACCAAGGCGACGAUCCGUAGCUGGUCUGAGAGGAUGAUCAGCCACACUGGAACUGAGACACGGUCCAGACUCCUACGGGAGGCAGCAGUGGGGAAUUUUGGACAAUGGGGGCAACCCUGAUCCAGCCAUUCCGCGUGAGUGAAGAAGGCCUGG
rnacentral:rRNA from 1 species